rnacentral:rRNA from 1 species
AGUGAACGCUGGCGGUAGGCCUAACACAUGCAAGUCGAACGGCAGCACAGUAAGAGCUUGCUCUUACGGGUGGCGAGUGGCGGACGGGUGAGGAAUACAUCGGAAUCUACUUUUUCGUGGGGGAUAACGUAGGGAAACUUACGCUAAUACCGCAUACGACCUACGGGUGAAAGCAGGGGAUCUUCGGACCUUGCGCGAUUGAAUGAGCCGAUGUCGGAUUAGCUAGUUGGCGGGGUAAAGGCCCACCAAGGCGACGAUCCGUAGCUGGUCUGAGAGGAUGAACAGCCACACUGGAACUGAGACACGGUCCAGACUCCUACGGGAGGCAGCAGUGGGGAAUAUUGGACAAUGGGCGCAAGCCUGAUCCAGCCAUACCGCGUGGGUGAAGAAGGCCUUCGGGUUGUAAAGCCCUUUUGUUGGGAAAGAAAAGCAGCAGGUUAAUACCCCACUGUUCUGACGGUACCCAAAGAAUAAGCACCGGCUAACUUCGUG